GGAAUAUUGGACAAUGGGCGCAAGCCUGAUCCAGCCAUGCCGCGUGUGUGAAGAAGGCCUUAGGGUUGUAAAGCACUUUCAGUGGGGAGAAAGGUUAUUCACCUAAUACGUGAGUAAAUUGAUGUUACCCACCGACGACGCACCGGCUAACUCCGUGCCCGCCGCCGCGGUAAUACGGAGGGUGCAAGCGUUAAUCGGAAUUACUGGGCGUAAAGCGUACGUAGGUGGUUUGUUAAGCCAGCUGUGAAAGCCCCGGGCUCAACCUGGGCACUGCAGUUGGAACUGGCAAGCGAGAGUAGGGUAGAGGGGUGUGGAAUUCCAGGUGUAGCGGUGAAAUGCGUAGAUAUCUGGAGGAACAUCAGUGGCGAAGGCGACACCCUGGACUCAUACUGACACUGAGGUACGAAAGCGUGGGGAGCAAAC
rnacentral:rRNA from 1 species